rnacentral:rRNA from 1 species
GACGAACGCUGGCGGCGUGCUUAACACAUGCAAGUCGAACGGAAAGGCCCUGCUUUUGUGGGGUGCUCGAGUGGCGAACGGGGGAGUAACACGUGAGUAACCUGCCCUUGACUGUGGGAUAACUUCAGGAAACUGGGGCUAAUACCGGAUAGGAUCUCCUGCUGCAUGGUGGGGGUUGGAAAGAUUCGGCGGUUGGGGAUGGACUCGCGGCUUAUCAGCUUGUUGGGGGAGUAGUGGCUUACCAAGGCUAUGACGGGUAGCCGGCCUGAGAGGGUGACCGGCCACAUUGGGACUGAGAUACGGCCCAGAAUCCUACGGGAGGCAGCAGUGGGGAAUAUUGCACAGUGGGCGGGAGCCUGAUGCAGCAACGCCGCGUGCGGGAUGACGGCCUUCGGGUUGUAAACCGCUUUCGCCUGUGACGAAGCGUGAGUGACGGUAAUGGGUAAAGAAGCACCGGCUAACUACGUG